rnacentral:rRNA from 1 species
AAAAAACUUUAUGCGCAAGUAUAAGGGAUUUAGCAAACUUCAGUUUCCAAGAAAAUUUUCUAGCCAGAAUCAGGUCCGUCCGUACCGUAAACCGACACAGGUGGAUAGGUAGAGUAUACUAAGGUGAGCGAGAGAACCUCUCUUAAGGAACUAGGCAAUUUGCAUCCGUAACUUCGGGAUAAGGAUGCCCUAGCUGUAACAGGCUAGGGGACACAAACCAAGCUCGAGCGACUGUUUAUCAAAAACACAUGUCUCUGCCAACCCGCAAGGGGAAGUAUAGGGGCUGACACCUGCCCAGUACUAGUAGGUUAAACGCGGUGGUGAUUACUAUGUAAAUGGUAUGAGCUGCUAACUGAAGCCCUAGUGAACGGCGGCGAUAACAAUAAUCGUCCUAAGGUAGCGAAAUUCCUUGUCGGGUAAGUUCCGACCCGCACGAAAGGUGUAACGACUUGAGCACUGUCUUAAGGGGGGACUCGGCGAAAUUGCAAUGAUCGUGAAGAUGCGGUCUACCUACACCAGGACAAAAAGACCCCGUGGAGCUUUACUACAGCUUGGCAUUGAUGCUAGACGUGUACUGUGUAGGCUAGGUGUUAGCACGACCCGCAAGGGUACGGCGAAAGAUGAGAAAGCACCCUUUAUAUUUUUAUCAUCUCACUUCUGAACCGUAAUCCGGCAGAAGGACAAUGUCUGGUGGGUAGUUUGACUGGGGCGGUCACCUCCUAAAGAGUAACGGAGGUACCCAAAGGUCUGCUAAGGACGGAUGGAAAUCGACCGGUUAGCGUAAAGGUACAAGCAGGCUUGACUGUGAGAGCUACAACUCGAGCAGGUACGAAAGUAGGGCUUAAUGAUCCUCCUGUGGCGCGUGGAAGCGCAGGAGCUUAAUGGAUAAAAGCUACCCCGGGGAUAACAGGCUUAUCUUACCCAAGCGUCCAUAGCGACGGUAAGGUUUGGCACCUCGAUGUCGGCUCGUCUCAUCCUGGAGGUGGAGAAGCUUCCAAGGGUUGGGCUGUUCGCCCAUUAAAGAGGCACGCGAGCUGGGUUCAGAACGUCGUAAGACAGUUCGGUCUCUAUCCGGUGUAGGCGUUGGAAAUUUGAGCAGGGCUUUCCCUAGUACGAGAGGACCGGGAAGGACGAACCUCUGGUGUACCAGUUGUCGCGUCAGCGGCAAGAAGCUGGGUAGCUACCGUUCGGUAAUGAUAACCGCUGAAAGCAUCUAAGCGGGAAGCAAGCUGCAAGAUAAGAUUUCCUCUAAGAUCCCUGACAGACUAUCAGGUUGAUAGGCCAUAGGUGUACGCACAGUAAUGUGUUUAGCCGAGUGGUACUAAUGAUUCGUAGACUUCU